rnacentral:rRNA from 1 species
CACGUAGGGGGCAAGCGUUGUCCGGAAUCAUUGGGCGUAAAGAGCGUGUAGGCGGCUUGGUAAGUCCGCUGUGAAAGUCCAGGGCUCAACCCUGGAAAGCCGGUGGAAACUGUCAAGCUUGAGUCCGGAAGAGGCGAGUGGAAUUCCUGGUGUAGCGGUGAAAUGCGCAGAUAUCAGGAGGAACACCAAUGGCGAAGGCAGCUCGCUGGGACGGUACUGACGCUGAGACGCGAAAGCGUGGGGAGCAAACAGG